rnacentral:rRNA from 1 species
GACGAACGCUGGCGGCGUGCUUAACACAUGCAAGUCGAACGGAAAGGCCCUGCUUUUGUGGGGUGCUCGAGUGGCGAACGGGUGAGUAACACGUGAGUAACCUGCCCUUGACUUUGGGAUAACUUCAGGAAACUGGGGCUAAUACCGGAUAGGAGCUCCUGCUGCAUGGUGGGGGUUGGAAAGUUUCGGCGGGUGGGGAUGGACUCGCGGCUUAUCAGCUUGUUGGUGGGGUAGUGGCUUACCAAGGCUUUGACGGGUAGCCGGCCUGAGAGGGUGACCGGCGACAUUGGGACUGAGAUACGGCCCAGACGCCUACGGGAGGCAGCAGGGGGGAAUAUUGCACAAUGGGCGGAAGCCGGAUGCAGCAACGCCGCGUGCGGGAUGACGGCCUUCGGGUUGUAAACCGCUUUCGCCUGUGACGAAGCGUGAGUGACGGUAAUGGGUAAAGAAGCACCGGCUAACUACGUG